UACGUAGGGGCCUAGCGUUGUCCGGAUUUAUUGGGCGUAAAGAGCUCGUAGGCGGUUCGGUAAGUCAGGUGUGAAAUCUCCACGCUCAACGUGGAGGCGCCACCUGAAACUGCCGUGACUCGAGUCCGGUAGGGGAGUGUGGAAUUCCUGGUGUAGCGGUGAAAUGCGUAGAUAUCUGGAGGAACACCGGUGGCGAAGGCGGCAUCCUGGACCGGUAUUGACGCUGAGGCGCGAAAGCCAGGGGAGCAAACGGG
rnacentral:rRNA from 1 species